UCCGCCCCCGGCAGCGGCCGGGCCCGCGGGUCACGGGCGGCGUGACGCGGGGCCUUAUGUGCAUGGUUAAGCGGGGGUUUCCGAUCUGCCCUCUCUGUGGAGAGGGCUGAAUACAAGCUUUACAACAGAAUUCAGCAAAGUAUUUCCACAGCUCUACUUACCGAUAUCCCAGUAUCUAGCAGGAAGCGGGCUUUGGUUUCUUAUUUUGAUGAGAAAUGAAAGAUCUUGUCUUCUGCUAGGGAAAUGUUAUAUGCUUGUGAUAAAAGCAGCACGCUGUAUAGUUUAUGCAUGGAAAAGAAAAUCUGAAUAUUGUUUAUUUCUUUUGUUCAUUACUUGUUUAUGUUUCAGGUGGCUGAGACGAGUCUAUCAAGUUGAUGUAUUUCUCUUCAAUGAUACUGCAUUGGAGCAGAGGAAGAGAAUACGCAGUUAAAAGGGAUCUGAAUAUCAAGUGAUCCAAAUCAUCUGGCAAAAAGACGUUUUUGGCUACAUACCCUGAUAUUCCUUGAACAGCUCCAAAACUGGAAGAGUUGUGUCUUUCUCCCAUACAUGAAUUCUAACAGAGAAAAGUUUUGAACAAUACUGCCUUCCUUCAAGCCAGGAUAGAAUUAUGUGAAAUUCAGUAUCUCUCUCCAUUUUAUGACUAGAGAUUUCAUUUCUACAACUGUGUUUAAAAAUAUUGUAUUUUUUAAAAAUAAAAAAGUUAAUAU